rnacentral:rRNA from 1 species
CGUCUAUAUACGUAUAGCAUAUCAAUAAGCGGAGGAAAAGAAACUAACUAGGAUUCCCUCAGUAACGGCGAGUGAAGCGGGAAGAGCUCAAAUUUGAAAUCUUCAAGGUUUUACCUUGACGAAUUGUAGUUUAAAGAAGUGUUUUCUGUUGGAGUUUUGGUAAAAGUUCUUUGGAAAAGGACAUCAUAGAGGGUGAGAAUCCCGUAUUUGACCAUUAUCUCCAGCUUUGUGAUACACUUUCAAAGAGUCGGAUUGUUUGGGAAUGCAGUCCAAAAUGGGUGGUAAAUUUCAUCUAAAGCUAAAUAUUGGCGAGAGACCGAUAGCGAACAAGUACCGUGAGGGAAAGAUGAAAAGAACUUUGAAAAGAGAGUUAAACAGUACGUGAAAUUGUCAAAAGGGAAGCGUUUGACACCAGUGUUGUUUUCUCGAAAAUCAAUUAAAAAAGGACUGGAUUUUGUGUUGUAUUGACUGUAUCAGCUUUCUGCACUUUUUUCUUGUCUUUUUUAAUGCACUUUUCGUUUAACAAGUCAACAUCAAUUUCUUUUGUUGUAAAAGGGUCAUUGGAAGGUGGCUUUCUUUUCGGAGAAAGUGUUUAUAGCCUUUGACUCCUGCAAUCGGAGAGACUGAGGUCUGCAGCGUAGAUCCUUCGGGGUUAGAUACAUUUGUGCUAAGUUAUAGCUUUGUAUAGACAACUUGUUGACUAUAUUAGUCUUGUAACUUACUCGCUUAUGCUAUUUUACCUACGCUUAGGAUGUUGACUGAUAUGUAGUCGUA